rnacentral:snRNA from 1 species
GGAAGUGAGGGGCGAUCUGGCUGCUACAUCUGUCACCCCCUGAUCACCAGGGUUGGUUCAGCUGAUCUGGCUGAGCUAGGCAGGUGUCCCCUUCCUCCCUCACAGCUCCAUGUGCAUCCCCUUCCUGAAGCUGCAUGCUGGGUCAAAAAGGUAGACAAGUAGCUGUGUUCCCCUGCUAGAAUCUCCAAACAGACUCUCAAGGUUCCACCAUCCCCACCUACAGCUUUCCCUAGUAGUGAAAUAGUGCUGCAAGUGUUUCUGUCUCUCCUU